rnacentral:rRNA from 1 species
UACGUAGGGUGCAAGCGUUAAUCGGAAUUACUGGGCGUAAAGCGUGCGCAGGCGGUUGUGCAAGACAGAUGUGAAAUCCCCGGGCUCAACCUGGGAAUGGCGAUGGAGACUGCAAGGCUAGAGUUUGGCAGAGGGGGGUAGAAUUCCACGUGUAGCAGUGAAAUGCGUAGAUAUGUGGAGGAACACCGAUGGCGAAGGCAGCCCCCUGGGUCAAAACUGACGCUCAUGCACGAAAGCGUGGGGAGCGAACAGG